GGUCUACUGGCCCAAUGGCUAAGGCGUUCGGCUUCGAACCGAAAGAUUGCAGGUUCGAUCCCUGCGUAGAUCA
rfam:Coniochaeta ligniaria NRRL 30616 unplaced genomic scaffold CONLIGscaffold_6, whole genome shotgun sequence.